CCAAAACUGUGAGGAGCGACUGCUUGUAUCCCGUCUUCCUGGAGUAAAACUGAAAGCCCGAGAAACACUCCGCUUACCAUUAAUCAAUAUCAGGAGAACGGUGGCUUUUUCCCCCUAAGACACAGAAUUUAACUACCUGCAGAUUUUUAAAAACCAACUAGCCCAUCCCCACUCUCGUCUUACAAUAAGUGGCUGGCGUUUAGGUUGCACAGUUGAGUUUUUGACAUAAAUUAUUUGAGCCCGUAUGUACCUCCUCUUGGUUGAUUCAAGAAAUUACAAAUGUCCUAAUACUCAGUGACAGAACUUGACAUAUCAAAGGAUUCAUAGGAACAUCAACAAAAAAUAAAUCACCAUUUCACUGCCCCUCCCCAAAACUAAAUUCCUCGUUUUACAAAGACCAUAUAAUCCUUUCAUUUUCAAACAAAUACCACUGCCUCACUGUUAUUCUAGCAUAAGCUAGCAUAAAUCUUACAACAGGCAGCACGUUCAAUGCGCUUUUAAUAGCCUGCUAGAAGGGCUCCUACGUGACAUCACCCCACACCGAAUUUGAGGGGAUUACCUGUGUCAGCCCGGCCGCAGUGCUCGCCGCAGAGACAGGGCCGCCUUGCUGACGAGGGCCGGUGCUCAGGACCCCCGGACAGCUCGGUGCCCCAGGCUCGCAGAAUGUUGGAGGGGCAACUUUGCUUUGGACACCCGCUGACUCAUCUUGUGGGACAGACUCCGCUGUGAAAGUCAGAACAGCUUCACACCCUCCAGCCACAUUCACAGCCUCCUCCGGAAGUUCCCAGGUCUCAUUCCUCAAGAGCCUGUCACAGGAGAGGGAGAAAAAGCACCAACACGUGAACUCAGGAAACGCCACCUCUGCACCCCUGGCCCAGCGCCCUCCACGGGGCCCUCCCUCCCACCAUGUUUAUACUCCAUCUGGCAUCCAGCUUCAGAUUGUGUGAAAAUUCCUGACACUCCACACCAGAAGCAUGAAAUACUGCAUAAGAUUAGGAGAGCUCGGAGAGGUGGCUCUGCCCACAGCUCAGUGUGCCUCCAACCUAGCGUGUGCGCUAAAUCACUGUUUCCAUCUUCUUAGACGAUCGUAUUGCUCUAUGGAGUUAUUUUUCCAUUACACGCUUAACAAUAACCAACCUUUGUUGCAUGCGGAAUGCCAGGCAUUAUGCUAAGCAUUUCCAUGAACUACCGCACAUAACUUUAUAAAAGACAAUGUUAUUACCCCUGCUUCUUAGACAAGGACACACUCAAGGGCAGGGAGGGUAAAUGGCGCUUGGAAAGGGAAACAGCAAAUAAGAGAGAGCUGGAUCCCACAGCCACAACUUUCUGACCUCAGGGCCAGCCCUACGCCAUCAAUGGUGUUAUUGGGGGUCUUGUGGCGCAUGUCCCUGUGGGACUGGUGGCAGCGUGGCCAGGGAGCUUGUUCGUGGGCCCAUGUUAAUAAAGCUGCAGUCAGGGCCUCAUGCAGCGAGGCCUGGAGCAGUGUUCUGCUUCGCGCCUGCAAGCAGACCCUGCUUCCAGCGGCGGGUGGUGGAAGGAGUCACGGAUUGCUAUCGGUGUACAUCUCAUUCUGUGUCACUGGUCACAUGGUGCCCUUCCCUCUCCCAGAAGGUAAGGUCCCCCAGCCCUGCCUCUGAUGCCCCAGCUGUGGGGAUUUGCCUGCUCUCCUGGCUCCAAUCCACAGGGUCAGUGUGGGGCUCCAAAGGGUUCUUAGAGGAUUUCCUCAGGCCCCACUCCUGGCAGCCAGCCCAGCCAGGCUGCCCAACAGCAACGUCCUACAUGCUGUGCUCAGAGGGGUGGGUGCUUCUUCGCUUUGCUGUGCUGGAAGCCAUGUGCGCUCUUCUCCAUCUGUGACCCCGUUAGGUCUCGGGGAAAGUUGAACCAGGUGAUUUCUUAUCUCUCAUCCCAAGUAGUUCCUGUUUUUGAAGACAGGUGAGUGCUACCUCUGCCGUACCAGGGCCAUGUGCUAUGAAUUAUCUUUUCUGAAGUUAGAAGGUAUAUCUAGUUCUCACCAUCAUCUGCAAAUGCCAAGGUUGCUGACAGGGCGCUGAGCAGAGAACCUGGCCCACAAACAGUUGACGCGAGGAUUCUGGCCUCCUCCCCUGGGAGCGAACCGUUGAAGCUGGCUGGACCCAGCCUCACUCCAGGGAGCAGGCCUGUUUUUCCAUCAAAUGCUCAGGAAAAUGUCUAGGUGACGUUGGAAAGCUGUAGAAUAAAACCAAUGUCUCAGCUUCAGUGAACCCCGAUGUCUCGGGAGAGGCUGAUUUUCCCUGCUAUAGAACUGCGUCAGACGCCUGAGAUGCAUGCAUCCUGCUGCUCGCCACGCCCGUGCCCGGUCACAGAGGCUCCUAGCGCUCGCAUCCUCAGGCCUGCGCGCUGCUGGGGGAGGAACACACCCGGCCAAGUGCAGCUCAUUUAUGGGCCCAGGGCUGAGAGCAGCUGCCUUUCAUCGUCUCCCUCAGAUUAAUUUGGACGAAUGCGUCGCUUUCUUAGCAGACUGAUCCCACAGACAGCAGGUGUUCAUGAUAAUGACAUCAAGCAAUAUUUAUCAGGUGCCAAAAUUUAAUGGGCUUUUGCAAAAUCAAAACGGUUUUGCAACUCACAGUGAAGUGUCCAUUUGAGCUAGAAAGUGCACGCUCUCGUGUACGAUUCUCAUUUUGUUUUGGCCAAAAGAAAAGAUGACUGUGAAGCGGGCGCCGCUUUGCUUGAAUUCCCGUCCAAUGGAGGAGCAGUGUGAGAGCCCUGACUCGCAGAGAUUUCCAGGCUGGUCAAGUGAAGCAGUGGGAGUGGAGAAGAAACAAAGAAAUCUGUAACUGGCUGUGAUCAAUUACUUGUGAACACCACUGCAUUUGCACCAGCCUUUAGCUAUUUUCUUUUAAAAACUUUCAGUGGUUGCUCUAGAGAUUACAAUGUACAUACAUAA
rnacentral:lncRNA from 1 species